rnacentral:rRNA from 1 species
AUUGAACGCUGGCGGCAUGCUUUACACAUGCAAGUCGAACGGUAACAGGCCGCCAGGUGCUGACGAGUGGCGAACGGGUGAGUAAUGCAUCGGAACGUGCCCAGUCGUGGGGGAUAACUACUCGAAAGAGUAGCUAAUACCGCAUACGAUCUAUGGAUGAAAGCGGGGGACCGUAAGGCCUCGCGCGAUUGGAGCGGCCGAUGUCAGAUUAGGUAGUUGGUGGGGUAAAGGCUCACCAAGCCAACGAUCUGUAGCUGGUCUGAGAGGACGACCAGCCACACUGGGACUGAGACACGGCCCAGACUCCUACGGGAGGCAGCAGUGGGGAAUUUUGGACAAUGGGCGCAAGCCUGAUCCAGCAAUGCCGCGUGCAGGAAGAAGGCCUUCGGGUUGUAAACUGCUUUUGUACGGAACGAAACGGCUCUGGCUAAUACCCGGGGCUAAUGACGGUACCGUAAGAAUAAGCACCGGCUAACUACGUG